rnacentral:lncRNA from 1 species
AGCCCCUCACCAUGUCCCCGCCGCCCCUUCCGCUCCUGACGGGGCCGGGUCAGGGAGCGGAGGGCGCGGGGCGGAGCCGCCUCCCCCCUCCCCACAUCGCCCCCUGCUGGCGGCUGCCGGCAGCGGCCGGGCGCCAUUUUGCCCUCCCCGCCCCUCAGCCCCACACAAGCAGCAGGCGGAGCGGGGCGAGGCUGCACGGCUUUAAUGGCGGGGCCGGCCCCACAGCGACACCGCGUCCCCACGGGGCGGCUCCGGGCAGCCCGGGGGGCAUGGGGAGCCCGGGGGCUCUGAGGAGUCCGUGGGCUCCGGCGUGGAUCAGUCCUGUGGGGAUAGGGGGCGGUGAGAGCGGCAGGGCUCGCUCCUCACGCCCCCCGUCACGGUGUCCCCAUGUUGCAGCAUCCCAGUGUCCCCAUGUCGCGGUGUCCUGGUGUCCCCAUGUUGUAGUGUCCCCUUGUCCCUGUGUCCCCAUGUCACGGCAUCCAGGUGUCCCUAUGUCGCGGUGUCCCCUUGUCCCCAUGUCCCAGUGUCCCCACCAUACCUACCCACUCAGCCUCAUCCACGCCCUCGAAGGAGUCCUGUGGCAGCGGGUCGUCGCGGUUGCCCAGCCGGGCCACCAUGGCGCUGAGGAGCUACGGGGCAAGCCACGGGGUGGG